AAAUCAUGGUUAAUUUAUUAUUGAGUUUUCAUGGAAUUGAUGGAAAUGGUUUUACUUGUUUGAAUGAGCUCUAUAAGUCUGUCAAUGGACUUUGUAUCUCGCAACUGUUAGAUGAUGGAGUCAUUUUGGCAGUUGAGCUCAUCUUGCUCUUUUUUUUUUUUUUGAAUUGUUUAGUUUGAGAACUAAUCUAGCUGACUGCUCUGUUUAAAAUGAGUUUAACCAUUUCCUCCAAACUAAUUAUCUGUUUAUCAGGAUGAAGCAUAGAAAUGGUUUAGGGCAAAAGGCUUAGUCAACAGGAGAAGAUGGCGAGGUAUUUAUUGUGAUCACUAUUCAUAGAACUAUGAAUGUUUAUCUUCUUUUGGUGUGUCUGUGUCUUGAAUGGCUACUCUAGCCAAUUAGGAAGUCAUUAUAAUUUUAUUUUAAUUGUUAAUAUUUAGAAUUUGUAAUUUAUUUGUAGUAAAAUGUUAUUCGAAUUGAAAUUUUAGAUUGGUGUGUUUUGGUUGAUA